CUGGCUCAGGAUGAACGCUAGCUACAGGCUUAACACAUGCAAGUCGAGGGGCAGCAUUAUCGAAGCUUGCUUUGAUAGAUGGCGACCGGCGCACGGGUGAGUAACGCGUAUCCAACCUUCCCCAUAGUCAGGAAUAGCCCGGCGAAAGUCGAAUUAAUGCCUGAUGUUUUCCACGGACGGCAUCUGAUGUGGAACAAAGAUUCAUCGCUAUGGGAUGGGGAUGCGUCUGAUUAGCUUGUUGGCGGGGUAACGGCCCACCAAGGCAACGAUCAGUAGGGGUUCUGAGAGGAAGGUCCCCCACAUUGGAACUGAGACACGGUCCAAACUCCUACGGGAGGCAGCAGUGAGGAAUAUUGGUCAAUGGGCGGAAGCCUGAACCAGCCAAGUAGCGUGAGGGAUGACUGCCCUAUGGGUUGUAAACCUCUUUUAUAAGGGAAUAAAAUACGGGACGUGUCCUGUUUUGCAUGUACCUUAUGAAUAAGGACCGGCUAAUUCCGUGCCAGCAGCCGCGGUAAUACGGAAGGUCCGGGCGUUAUCCGGAUUUAUUGGGUUUAAAGGGAGCGCAGGCGGUCUUAUAAGCGUGACGUGAAAUGCAGCGGCUCAACCGUAUGAUGUGCGUCGCGAACUGUGAGACUUGAGUGUAUUCGAUGUCAGCGGAAUUUGUGGUGUAGCGGUGAAAUGCUUAGAUAUCACGAAGAACUCCGAUUGCGAAGGCAGCUGACAAGGCUACAACUGACGCUAAAGCUCGAAAGUGCGGGUAUCGAACAGGAUUAGAUACCCUGGUAGUCCGCACGGUAAACGAUGGAUGCCCGGUGUUUGCGAUAUACAGUGAGCGCCCAAGCGAAAGCGUUAAGCAUCCCACCUGGGGAGUACGCCGGCAACGGUGAAACUCAAAGGAAUUGACGGGGGCCCGCACAAGCGGAGGAACAUGUGGUUUAAUUCGAUGAUACGCGAGGAACCUUACCCGGGCUUGAACUGUAGGCGAACGAUCCAGAGAUGGUGAGGCCCUUCGGGGCGCCUAUGGAGGUGCUGCAUGGUUGUCGUCAGCUCGUGCCGUGAGGUGUCGGCUUAAGUGCCAUAACGAGCGCAACCCCCAUCUCCAGUUGCCACCGGGUCGUGCCGGGCACUCUGGAGGGACUGCCAGCGCAAGCUGCGAGGAAGGCGGGGAUGACGUCAAAUCAGCACGGCCCUUACGUCCGGGGCGACACACGUGUUACAAUGGCGGAGAACAGAGGGGAGCCACGUGGCGACACGGAGCCGAUCCCUAAAAUCCGUCUCAGUUCGGAUUGGAGUCUGCAACCCGACUCCAUGAAGCUGGAUUCGCUAGUAAUCGCGCAUCAGCCAUGGCGCGGUGAAUACGUUCCCGGGCCUUGCACACACCGCCCGUA
rnacentral:rRNA from 1 species